rnacentral:rRNA from 1 species
GAGUUUGAUCCUGGCUCAGAACGAACGCUGGCGGCGUGCCUGACACAUGCAAGUCGAACGUGAUCCAGAGCUUGCUCUGGUGAAAGUGGCGCACGGGUGAGUAACGCGUGGAUAACCUACCCUGGUAUCCGGGAUAACAUUCCGAAAGGGGUGCUAAUACCGGAUAAGCCCACGGGCUCUUUGGAGCUUGCGGGAAAAGGUGGCCUCUAUUUAUAAGCUACUGUAUCAGGAUGGGUCCGCGUACCAUUAGCUAGUUGGCGGUGUAACGGACCACCAAGGCGACGAUGGUUAGCUGGUCUGAGAGGAUGAUCAGCCACACUGGAACUGAGACACGGUCCAGACUCCUACGGGAGGCAGCAGUGGGGAAUUUUGCGCAAUGGGGGAAACCCUGACGCAGCAACGCCGCGUGAGUGAUGAAGGCCUUUGGGUCGUAAAGCUCUGUCAGAGGGGAAGAAAUGAUAUAGUGCUAAUACCACUUUAUCUUGACGGUACCCUCAAAGGAAGCACCGGCUAACUCCGUGCCAGCAGCCGCGGUAAUAC